rnacentral:lncRNA from 1 species
UGGACCCUACUUUCUGGUUGCCAUGGAUGCAAGGUCAGCCUUCCACACUUGGAUCUACCAGCAGAGUUCAGACAGGUCAACGUGUGACCGGCCCAGGCCCUGGGGUUAAAAGUUCAAGCAGCGAUGGAAAAACCAAUAUGUCCACGCAGAGGAGAAGCUAUUUGGGCAAGUUUCAUUUUCCUCAUCUGUAAAAUGGAGAUAAAAAUAAGACAUGUUCCUCAGGGGAUCUUUGUCAGGAUUAAAUGAGUUAAUAUAUGUAAUGCACUUACAGGAGUUCUUGGCAUAUAAUAAGAGCCGUAUGAAUGUUUGCUAUU